rnacentral:rRNA from 1 species
AGAGUUUGAUCCUGGCUCAGAUUGAACGCUGGCGGCAUGGUUAAGACAUGCAAGUCGAGCGCGAAAGCCCCUUCGGGGGUGAGUAGAGCGGCGCAAGGGCGAGGAAUACGUUCCUACGUACCCCGAGGUCAGGGAUAGCCCAGGGAAACCUGGAUUAAUACCUGAUGUGGUCCUUCGGGAUCAAAGGCUUGCUGCCUCGGGAGCGGGGAACGUCCUAUCAGGUUGUUGGUGGGGUAACGGCUCACCAAGCCGAAGACGGGUAGCGGGUGUGAGAGCAUGACCCGCCGCAUCGGGACUGAGACACUGCCCGGACUCCUACGGGAGGCUGCAGUAACGAAUCUUCCGCAAUGCGCGAAAGCGUGACGGAGCAAUGCCGCGUGCAGGAUGAAGCCCCUCGGGGUGUAAACUGCUGUCAGGGUUUAGGAACACAAUGACCAGACCCAAAGGAAGGGCCGGCUAACUUCGUGCCAGCAGCCGCGGUAAUACGAAGGGCCCGAGCGUUACUCGGAAUCAUUGGGCUUAAAGCGUAUGUAGGCGGGCGCGCAGGCACCUUGUGAAAUCCCUCGGCUCAACCGAGGAAUUGCUUGGUGAACCGCGCGCCUUGAGGCAAGUAGGGGCUGUCGGAACGAUAGGUGGAGCGGUGAAAUGC